AUUAAAAACCAAUGCCCUUCGGGGCUCUCUGGUGAUUCAUAAUAACUUCUCGAAUCGCACGGCCUUGCGCCGGCGAUGGUUCAUUCAAAUUUCUGCCCUAUCAACUUUCGACGGCUGGGUCUUGGCCAGCCGUGGUGACAACGGGUAACGGAGGGUUAGGGCUCGACCCCGGAGAAGGAGCCUGAGAAACGGCUACUACAUCCAAGGAAGGCAGCAGGCGCGCAAAUUACCCAAUCCCGACACGGGGAGGUAGUGACAAUAAAUACUGAUACAGGGCUCUUUCGGGUCUUGUAAUUGGAAUGAGUACAAUUUAAAUCCCUUAACGAGGAACAAUUGGAGGGCAAGUCUGGUGCCAGCAGCCGCGGUAAUUCCAGCUCCAAUAGCGUAUAUUAAAGUUGUUGAGGUUAAAAAGCUCGUAGUUGAACCUUGGGCCUAGCCGGCCAGUCCGCCUCACCGCGUGCACUGGCUCGGCUGGGUCUUUCCUUCUGGAGAACCGCAUGCCCUUCACUGGGUGUGCC
rnacentral:rRNA from 1 species